GAGUUUGAUCUUGGCUCAGAUUGAACGCUGGCGGCAUGCCUUACACAUGCAAGUCGAACGGCAGCACGGGAGGCUUGCUCCUGGUGGCGAGUGGCGAACGGGUGAGUAAUGCCAUCGGAACGUAUCCUGGAGUGGGGGAUAACGUAGCGAAAGUUACGCUAAUACCGCAUAUUCUGUGAGCAGGGAAAGCGGGGGACCUUCGGGCCUCGCGCUCUUGGAGCGGCCGAUGUCGGAUUAGCUAGUUGGUGAGGUAAAGGCGUCACCAAGGCGACGA
rnacentral:rRNA from 1 species